GGCUGAGAGAUCAGCUGUUCCCUUCGGGGACAGAAUGACAGGUGGUGCAUGGUUGUCGUCAGCUCGUGUCGUGAGAUGUUGGGUUAAGUCCCGCAACGAGCGCAACCCUUAUGAUCAGUUGCCAGCAUUCAGUUGGGCACUCUGGUCAGACUGCCGGUGACAAACCGGAGGAAGGCGGGGAUGACGUCAAAUCAUCAUGCCCCUUAUGACCUGGGCUACACACGUGCUACAAUGGACGGUACAACGAGUCGCGAAACCGCGAGGUCAAGCGAAUCUCUAAAAACCAUCCUCAGUUCGGAUUGCAGGCUGCAACUCGCCUGCAUGAAGCUGGAAUCGCUAGUAAUCGCGGAUCAGCACGCCGCGGUGAAUACGUUCCCGGGUCUUGUACACACCGA
rnacentral:rRNA from 1 species